AAGCAUUUUCUUGCCUCAAUUAUCUGCGAGCUGAGUGAAGUUUAUUUUUGCUUCAUCGAGUGGCAAAGAAUCAUUAAAAAAAGUCUCUAAUGUGGAGUUCCUGUUGUGGCACAUCAGAAAUGAAUCCAACUAGGAAUCAUGAGGUUUCUGGUUCAAUCCCUGGCCUCGCUCAGUGGGUUAAGGAUCUGGCAUUGUCAUGAGCUGUGGUGUGGGUCGCAAAUGUGGCUCAGAUCCUGUGUUGCUGUAGCUGUGGUGUAGGCCCGUGGCUGUAGCUCCGAUUCGACCCCUAGCCUGGGAACCUCCAUGCGCCAUGCGUGCAGCCCUAAAAAGCAAGAAAAAAAAAUAAUAAAAAUCUCUAAUAUGUAAACUAUUAUAUCUGGAAAAGAUGGGCAAUGCGAUCCUACUGCACAACACAGGGAAAUAUGUGUGAUUGGGUCACUUUGUUGUACAACAGAACUUGAUGAAACAUUGUAAAUCAACUAUAAUUUAAUAAUUAAUAAUAACAAUAAAAAAUCUCUGAUGGAGGAAAGGUUUAUACAAUUAUUUUUCUUCAAAUAAGCCUAAUUUACUUCUUAUUUUAUGUAGAGAUUGGUGAAUUUUCCCAGCACAUGGGAAGGAAAAUGAGUUGGAAAUGGAAAAAAAAAAUAAACUUUUUUUUCCUUCUUGGUUUCAGUUUCUACAGUUCUGUUGCAGUUUACCAAGUUCGAUGACUAUUUGGAAACAAUCUACAGCUGGUUUUUUGUUUUGUUUUGUUUUGUUUUAUUUUGCCUAAAGACAGAAAAGAAAACCAUCUCUUAUAUUAAAAGGAUAUUAAGUAGCAAAUGAGAAAAGGUUACUUUUGUCUCCUAGCGAGUCUUCCAGUCUUGGGUACUUUAUAGUCCUUCUAAGACUCAGGAGUUUGUGGUGGUAAAUGUGAAAAUGAAACUCAACCAACCAUCUCUGGUUCUUUCCAGGAAGAGUUUUCCACUGUGAAAAAUCCAGACUGAGUUUAGAGGGGGAAUGACUCUUUUGUCUCCCUAGAACAAUCUUCUUGGCUCUGAAUUCUGUUCUGGUGGCCUAUGUCACAGUACCUUCCGUUUAUAUGCAAUUGCUCACUCUGAGAAUAAACAGAGUCAGGAGGUCCCUAUGUGGGGUCGUCCCGGUAAGGCCCCCGGAGACACAAAUAUCACUUGUCUGAUAGCUCAGAGAGCUGGGGACUUCAUGCAGCUACGGUUAGGCAUGCAGAGAAGUCAGCGUCUCAGCAGCAAGAGCCUAAAUUCAGAAGCCUAUUUUCACUCCUAUUAUUUUUAAAAUGGAAAAUUCCAUUUUCAUGGGUAUGUACUUGUUUUUGAACGCAGACAACUUCCAGAAGAUUUUUGCACCAGGAGCUAAAAAUUUUAAUCAUUUGCUUUCAGCAGCCUAGAAAUUAAUUGGGGGUUAUUUUAAAUGGAAUUGAAAACUUGCCUUUAAAAAUUUAGUUCUCCUCUAGUUACAUAUAAGCCCAAGCUAUAAGGUGACAAUAAUAACAAAUUAUUGGAUAAUAUAAUAUUAAAACUAGCAAGUAACAUUAUUUAUAAUGGAAUAGAUUUUUUAUUAUUAUGAAUAUAUCCUGGGUGCAGAAUAUUUUCUUAUGUACUCAUAAUUAUUGGAAAGUUGGUCUCUGAAAACAAAGAGAAAUUGAAUGAAACUGGUGAAAAAUGCUAGGACUCAUUCACUAGUUUAAAUUCAGAAGACUGCAUUUUUUUUCAGCAUUAAAAAAUUAUGUUAACAGAGACAAAGACAAAAUUUUAGGUGCCCUUGAGGAAAAUCAUGUACUCAUAAUUUUUUUUCACUUGUUUUUAUAAAUCCUUAUUAUUAUUAUUUUCUGGUUUUUGGAAAGAGUAAAAAAAUUACCAAUGCUUCUCUAUAGAUAAACAUAGGACAAAAAGCUGAAUGAUUUUAAAAAAAUGUUCACUCCAUCAUGCAAUUAUUCCCCCAAACCAGAACGGAUAGCCACUGGUAAAUCAAUGAAUUACAUCCCUUUUGGAUUUAUGGAUCCUCUUGAAUAUCAGAUAGAAGUUGGAGUUUUUGCUCCCCAAAUGGACAUCCAUAAGAAAUUUUAUGCUUCAUUUUGAGGGUGUUUCCUUCUUUCCUGGCUAGCUCAUCCAUGAUUUCCAGUGGGUUAAUAACUUCUCCUGUAGUGAAAACUCUGGAAGGCCAUUCAAGAAAUGCUGGCUACAUAAUUUGCAUGGUCCAGUGCAAAAUGAGAGGCCUUUUAUUUAAAAAUCAUUAAGCAUUUAAAAAUGGUAAUAGCAGAGCGUUAGACCAAACGUGAGACCCUUCUAAGCAUGGGGCCCUGAGUGACUAUACAAGCUGUAUGUCCAAGAAGCCAGCCUGACUUUCAAGGGUAAGGAAUGGUUAGGAUUUCAAGCUCUGGUGCUUGACUUCCUGAGCUCAAAUCAUAGCUCUCCUUGGGUUUUCUUUUCUUUUUCUUUUAUUGUUAUUUCCCCAACAUAAUUUUUUUUUCCCCACUGUACAGCAUGGGGACACAGUUACACAUACAUGUAUACAUACUUUUUUCUCCCGUUAUCAUGCUCCGUCGUAAGUACCCAGACAUAGUUCUCAGUGCUACACAGCAGGAUCUCAUUGUUAAUCCAUUCCAAAAGCAACAGUUUUCAUUCGUUAACCCUAAGCUCCUGAUCCCUCCCACUCCCUCCCCCUCCUCCUGGGCAACCACAAGUCUGUUCUCCAAGUCCAUGACUUUAUUUUCUAUGGAAAGGUUCGUUUGUGCUGUAUAUUAGGUACCAGAUAUAAGUGAUAUCCUUGGGUUUUCUUAUGUAAGCAUUGGCUAUUAUUCUUUUUAAAAAAUGUUGCUGA
rnacentral:lncRNA from 1 species